rnacentral:tRNA from 1 species
CGGGCUGUAGUAUAACGGUAGUACGUCUGCUUUGGGAGCAGAUAGCCUGGGUUCAAUUCCCAGCAGCCCGACCA